rnacentral:misc_RNA from 1 species
GGAAGUAAAAUCGUAACAAGGUUUCCGUAGGUGAACCUGCGGAAGGAUCAUUAUCGAAAUACUUAUUUAGCGUUCCGUGCUAUCCCAUUGUUUUAUUUACCCUGUUGCUUCCACUGGAUGAGUUUCCAUACCUUGUGUUUGAGAAACUUUGGCUUGUGUAAGAUUCAUUCACGGCCAGCCAGUGAGAAGACCAUUUACAAAACCCUGUUAAGAACCAAUUGUCUGAAUAUUUUACUCCAAUGAAAUAAAACUUUCAACAACGGAUCUCUAGGCUCUU